rnacentral:pre_miRNA from 1 species
UGUUAAAAUUUUUAUUUAUUUCUAGUGUUAAAAAUUGGCGUGGCUGGCAAAAGAAUCAGACAGUUACACGUGAUGUGCCAUAUGUACUUCAUGCUAAUGUACAUGGACAAAUUUUUAACUGUAAAAAUGGAUGGUUUGUUCUUUG